AAGUGAUCCAAGAUGAAGACUUUAGAUAUUUCUGAAAUAUAUAUAAAAUAUUUUCAUGAUUUUUAUGAUUUAACUCUGUCAUAAAAACACAAAUCACUAAAAUAACAUUAAACUGUUCAUGUGAAAGAGUUUCAUCCUCCCCCGUCCUUCUGCAGUAAUGGAAUAUUCCAUCCAUUACUGCAGAAGGACGGCAGGUUAGAGAACAGAGAGACUUUUUAGAACAACAAAACAUCUGUAAUCCAGCUGCUAUGAAAAAAGGAAAAGACAAGAAAAAAUACUGAUAAAUAAAUCAGUGACACUCAAGCAGAAGAUAAAGAAAGACAGGAAUGAGAAAAGGGAGGGAAAGAAAAUGGUCAUUUUGAGGAUUAUUUCAUUAUUCAUUUUAUGUUUGUUUAUUUUGUUUACUUUCCUGACAAUUUAAUUUGUUUCUGUUAGAAAAUGAAUAAUUAACAAAUGAGUUCAUUCAAUAAAUUCAAUGUUUUAUCCAAGUAAAAAUAAUGUUUGUAAAAUAUAAAUUGUUUAACAUUUAAAUGUGAUUUUUGUUUUUCAGUUUCUUUUUAAAUCAUUUGGAUUCUUGACAUUAAUGUUAUCUAAAGGUGAAGAAGUUAUUCUUCAGAUAUUUUACCCUUUAGAUACAGAUUUUCAUAAAACAUUGAAGAUGGUUCCAUGUUCUUGUUCUCCUGAGAUUCUCCACUGGACAGCAGCAGAACUCUCAUUGGCUCCAGAUGAUCUUGUAGUUGAUAAUUCUGGGCACGUCCAUCAGAAAUGAUUCAUCACAAUAUUUGUCGGUAAAGAAACAGUUUAUCUGGUUCAUGGAAACAAAACCUUCAGUCUAAAGUGAUGCUGCAAACUAUUUCAAUGAAGACAGUUUGUUUCUAUUUGGUUUGAUCUCAGUGACGUGGGGGGGCUCUGGCUCCUGGGGUCAGGAAGUAGACCACCAGCUGACAGGAGAAUGCGUGAAGCCCUCUUAGCUAAACUCCUCUGGAAUUGGGUCUGGAGCAGGAUCAGGAACAAAUAGGGGUGCCGGAGCCUAUCCCGGCUACUGAUGGGCGAAGGCGGGGU